GACGAACGCUGGCGGCGUGCCUAAUACAUGCAAGUAGAACGCACAGUUUAUACCGUAGCUUGCUACACCAUAAACUGGGAGUUGCGAACGGGUGAGUAACGCGUAGGUAACCUGUCUGGUAGUGGGGGAUAACUAUUGGAAACGAUAGCUAAUAACGCAUAAUAUUGAUUAUUGCAUGAUAAUUGAUUGAAAGAUGCGAUUGCAUCACUAUGAGAUGGACCUGCGUUGUAUUAGCUAGUAGGUGAGGUAACGGCUCACCUAGGCGACGAUACAUAGACGACCUGAGAGGGUGAUCGGCCACACUGGGACUGAGACACGGCCCAGACUCCUACGGGAUGCAGCAGUAGGGAAUCUUCGGCAAUGGACGAAAGUCUGACCGAGCAACGCCGCGUGAGUGAAGAAGGUUUUCGGAUCGUAAAGCUCUGUUGUAAGAGAAGAACGGGUAUGAGAGUGGAAAGUUCACACUGUGACGGUAUCUUACCAGAAAGGGACGGCUAACUACGUG
rnacentral:rRNA from 1 species